UCACAUCCUGGGGCUGUAGCCGGUCCCAAGGGUAUGGCUGUUCGCCAUUUAAAGUGGUACGUGAGCUGGGUUUAAAACGUCGUGAGACAGUUUGGUCCCUAUCUGCCGUGGGCGUUGGAAGUUUGAGUGGACCUGCUCCUAGUACGAGAGGACCGGAGUGGACGCACCUCUGGUGUAUCGGUUGUCACGCCAGUGGCAUUGCCGAGUAGCUAAGUGCGGAAGAGAUAACCGCUGAAAGCAUCUAAGCGGGAAACUCGCCUCAAGAUGAGACUUCCCGGGGGUUAAACCUCCCUAAAGGUUCGUCGAAGACCACGACGUUGAUAGGUCGGGUGUGGAAGCGCAGUAAUGUGUUAAGCUAACCGAUACUAAUUGACCGUGAGGCUUGAUCCUAUAACCUUA
rnacentral:rRNA from 1 species